AUUGAACGCUGGCGGCAGGCCUAACACAUGCAAGUCGAACGAGUGGCGGACGGGUGAGUAAUGUCUGGGAAACUGCCUGAUGGAGGGGGAUAACUACUGGAAACGGUAGCUAAUACCGCAUACCAUCGGAUGUGCCCAGAUGGGAGUAGCUAGUAGGUGGGGUAAAGGCUCACCUAGGCGACGAGCCCUAGCUGGUCUGAGAGGAUGACCAGCGACACUGGAAAUGAGGCACGGUACAGACUCCGACGGGAGGCAGCAGGGGGGGAUAUUGCGCAAUGGGAGCAAGCCUGAGGCAGCCAUGCCGCGGGUAUGAAGGAGGCCUUCGGGUUGUAAAGUACUUUCAGCGGGCAGGCGUUACCCGCAGAAGAAGCACCGGCUAACUCCGUGCCAGCAGCCGCGGUAAUUC
rnacentral:rRNA from 1 species